UGAGAGAAUAUUGGUCAAUGGGCGCAAGCCUGAACCAGCCAUCCCGCGUGAAGGAAGAAGGAGCGAUACGUUGUAAACUUCUUUUCCAGGGGGUGAAUAAAGCCGAUGUAUCGGGAGAUGACGGUACCCUGGGAAUAAGCAUCGGCUAACUCCGUGCCAGCAGCCGCUCUAUUACGGAGGAUGCGAGCGUUAUCCGGAUUUAUUGGGUUUAAAGGGGUGCGUAGGCGGAACAAUAAGUCAGUGUGAAAUUCUGCAGCUUAACUGUAGACUUGCCGUUGAUACUGUUGGCCUUGAGUAUGGUCAAGGCAGGCGGAAUGUGUAAUGUAGCGGUGAAAUGCUUUAAAUUUUACACAGAAACCCCCGUUUGCGAAGCAGCUUUGCUGGGGCCA
rnacentral:rRNA from 1 species